rnacentral:tRNA from 1 species
GGGUUGUGGCUUAGUGGUAGAGUGCUCGCCUCGCACGUUUGAGACCCUGGAUUCGAUCCUCAGCCCCA